rnacentral:sRNA from 1 species
GUGAUGACGAUAUUGAUCAUU